rnacentral:rRNA from 1 species
AGAGUUUGAUCCUGGCUCAGAUUGAACGCUGGCGGCGUGCUUAACACAUGCAAGUCGAACGAGAAAGGGAUUGCUUGCAGUCCCGAGUAGAGUGGCGCACGGGUGAGUAACACGUAGAUAAUCUGCCUUCAAGCCUGGGAUAACUAUUCGAAAGGGUAGCUAAUACCGGAUAAAGUCGAUCUACACAAGUAGAUUGAUGAAAGAUUGCCUCUUCUUGAAAGCAAUUGUUUGGAGAUGAGUUUGCGUACCAUUAGCUUGUUGGUGGGGUAAAGGCCUACCAAGGCAACGAUGGUUAGCUGGUCUGAGAGGAUGAUCAGCCACACUGGAACUGGAACACGGUCCAGACUCCUACGGGAGGCAGCAGUGAGGAAUUUUGCGCAAUGGGGGCAACCCUGACGCAGCAACGCCGCGUGAGUGAAGAAGGCCUUUGGGUCGUAAAGCUCUGUCAACAGGGAAGAAGUUACAAUUGUUUAAUAGAUGGUUGUAUUGACGGUACCUGUGGAGGAAGCGCCGGCUAACUCCGUGCCAGCAGCCGCGGUAAUACGGGGGGCGCAAGCGUUAUUCGGAAUUAUUGGGCGUAAAGGGCGCGCAGGCGGUCUUGUCCGUCAGGUGUGAAAGCUCGGGGCUCAACCCCGGAAGUGCACUUGAAACAGCAAGACUUGAAUACGGGAGAGGAAAGCGGAAUUCCUGGUGUAGAGGUGAAAUUCGUAGAUAUCAGGAGGAACACCGAUGGCGAAGGCAGCUUUCUGGACCGAUAUUGACGCUGAGGCGCGAAGGCGUGGGUAGCAAACGGGAUUAGAUACCCUGGUAGUCG